GUUCUUCCAGAUCAAGUCAUUUCAGAUCAAUUCCAGAUUGUCGAUAUUUUAGUUUCAUGUGUGUUUCCAUCACAGGCCUUAAAACUUGCAUGACAAGUGGAUAUUCAUACAUUGAAGGAAUUGAACAUUUGCUUCUUUCCUUAAAGCAAAACAACUAUGAGAUGCAUGCUUUUACAAACUACCCCAUAUGGUUUCUGUGCUAGUGUUAAAGGUCACACUUUUCAAGAACCCAGUUGCAGAUUUGUCUUUGUUUCAGUUGAAGAUGGGUAUUUGCAAUCAGGAUGCAAUCAAGCAGUUGCAAUCCAUGAUGGAAAAUGGUGUGUUCUUCACAACCUUCAAAAUAAAUAAAUAAAUCAGUCUCAUCUCGCAUUCUUGUUUUACUUCCAUGAUCUCUAAUUGAUAAAGAUUCCUUCUUUUUUUUUUUGUCUCGUUCCAGUGAAUUUGUGGCCUAUUGGAGAAAAUUUGUGGCCGAGUAUUACUCUCUUCGAGCAAAGGAACGGUGGUGCUUGUCUUUGUAUAAUAAUGUUGGGCAUCAUGCACUUGGUGUUUUCCCUUAGGCAUCUAUGGCAAGUCACUUCGCUUGUUAUUUAAAUUUUCUAUUAAUUAUUUCAAUGUCUGAAAAUUGAAUUUACUUGGAUUACUAUUUUUUGUCUGCACCAUGCUCUGCCCUUUUAAUUUAUUUUUACUUUUGACAUAUACAUAAUCUGACAUGGGUUUUUUAAUUUCCCCCAAAAGGAUGCAUGGCAGUGCGACAUAUGUGGUUCUAAAUCUGGAAGGGGAUUUGGUAAGGAACCGAGAACGUUAUUUUGUUAUUUUGCAAUACUGCAAGUGAGAACAUACGUGAUAUUGUGAUUGUAGAAAUUUAUCUGAUAAUUCUGUUUAUUGUCUAGUCUGUAAGUUUGACUUUCUGGCUGAAAAGUAUUACUCCAGUGCAAUCACUACUAACCAGUAAUUGGAUUAUGAAUUGUAGUAAAUAAUAAUCUUCAGUCUAAACUUGAAAAAUUAAAGAACUAGAACCUAGUCAUCUGUUGCUACUUGUAUGAUUGCUUGCUUAUAUUCUCUGUUGGAUGUUAAGAAAACAAUUCAAAUAUGUUAGAAAAUACUUGUAAGAUCCUUUAGUUGUACUGUUAUAAAUGACUAGGUGGACUGAAGCUGACAUCUAGCUUGUGGAGGAAAGGUUGUAAAAUGAAAGACGAAAAUGUAGAUAGAUGGCUAUAUGCAUUUUGGCAUUUUCCUUAUUACUUGCUUUUACAUAGGUGUAAUGCAGUCUAGUUUUGGACCUGAUUCAAUAGACUUAGUGUCAUCUCUAUGUGAUACCUGGCCUUCGUAAAGUACUUGAUUAAGCGACUGAAAACUUUGAAUUCAAUUAGGUUUAUCAAUCGAGAUGGAAUUGACUUUUCAGAUGCACAAAGCAUGCAAGCCAUUCAGGUAAUAGGUUCUUUAAAAGGAUUUCAAGGAAUUCAUUGAUUGACACAUAAGGAAAUGCCCUAUUCACUUUGAGCAAGUAAAAAAAACAUAAAAAAAAGAAUUUCACAAUCAUUAAUCAAUGUCAGUUAUUGAAAAUUACAGUAACAUGCUUACAGUUAGGAGUGCUGAAAAAAGCCGGGAGUCCAAUUUAGCAUGUGAUUCAGGUGUACUUUUUUAUUUUUGCUCUUUUAGAUUUGCCUUGCUGCUUUAUUGAGCUUUUGAUUGCUCUUUUGGACUUGUCUUGCCUUACUUGACAGAUGCACCAAAAUGAUUCAAUAUAUACUAGCUAAAUUGUGUAUCCCAAAACGCUUUCAGGUAGUCCGCAAAAACGAUCAUUUAGGAAGAGAUGUUGAACUCUUUCGUUGGCAUUAUUACGCUCCAGGUCAAGUUGGUCCAGCCUCUAAGGGUAUACUCCUGCUGACUGAUCGAAAGGAGCGUUUUUGUCUAAUGGUUUAUUUGUCGAGGAGGUGUAUUUGUCAAUGGCUCUGAGCAAGUCACCAUCAUGCAAUUUAAAAGGAAUAGGAUCAAUAUAAAAUCUUGUUUGUUUAAAUUGUUGAAAAUGAAGGAACUAGUAGUGUCAAUGAGUAAUGUAAAUAGUUAUAGUUCUGUCAAUAGUUUAUUUUUUUGGGUACC